rnacentral:rRNA from 1 species
UGACGAAGCGACGCCGCGUGAGCGAAGAAGGCCCUAGGGUUGUAGAGCUCUGUCGGGGGUUAUGAAAUGCAGGUUGGUUAAUACCCAACCUGUUUGACAAAGGCCCCAAAGGAAGCCACGGCUAACUCUGUGCCAGCAGCCGCGGUAAUACAGAGGUGGCAAGCGUUGUUCGGUAUUAUUGGGCGUAAAGAGCACGUAGGUGGUUUUGUAAGUCAGAUGUGAAAGCCUUCUGUUCAAAGGAAGAACGGCAUCUGAAACUGCAGAUCUUGAGUGUAGGAGGGGAGAGUGGAACUUCUGGUGGAGCGGUGAAAUGCGUAGAUAUCAGAAGGAACGUCGGCGGCGAAAGCGACUCUCUGGCCUAUUACUGACACUGAGUGUGCGAAAGUUAGGGGAGCAAACGGGAUUAGAUACCCCGGUAGUCCUAACUGUAAACGAUGGGCACUAAGUAGAGGG